rnacentral:rRNA from 1 species
CCAGACUCCUACGGGAGGCAGCAGUGGGGAAUAUUGCACAAUGGGGGAAACCCUGAUGCAGCGACGCCGCGUGGGCGAGGAAGUACCUCGGUAUGUAAAGCCCUAUCAGCAGGGAAGAAACAGGACAGUACCUGACUAAGAAGCCCCGGCUAACUACGUGCCAGCAGCCGCGGUAAUACGUAGGGGGCGAGCGUUAUCCGGAUUCACUGGGUGUAAAGGGAGCGUAGACGGCCAUGCAAGCCAGGGGUGAAAGCCCGGGGCCCAACCCCGGGACUGCCCUUGGAACUGCAUGGCUGGAGUGCGGGAGGGGCAGGCGGAAUUCCUGGUGUAGCGGUGAAAUGCGUAGAUAUCAGGAGGAACACCGGCGGCGAAGGCGGCCUGCUGGACCGCGACUGACGUUGAGGCUCGAAAGCGUGGGGAGCAAACAGGAUUAGAUACCCCUGUAC